rnacentral:rRNA from 1 species
CCUGCAGUCGACGGCAGCACGGGGGCAACCCUGGUGGCGAGUGGCGAACGGGUGAGUAAUACAUCGGAACGUGCCCAGUCGUGGGGGAUAACGUAGCGAAAGCUACGCUAAUACCGCAUACGAACUGAGGUUGAAAGCGGGGGACCGUAAGGCCUCGCGCGAUUGGAGCGGCCGAUGGCAGAUUAGGUAGUUGGUGGGGUAAAGGCUCACCAAGCCGACGAUCUGUAGCUGGUCUGAGAGGACGACCAGCCACACUGGGACUGAGACACGGCCCAGACUCCUACGGGAGGCAGCAGUGGGGAAUUUUGGACAAUGGGCGCAAGCCUGAUCCAGCCAUUCCGCGUGCAGGAUGAAGGCCCUCGGGUUGUAAACUGCUUUUGUACGGAACGAAAAGGCUCUGGUUAAUACCUGGGGCUCAUGACGGUACCGUAAGAAUAAGCACCGGCUAACUACGUGCCAGCAGCCGCGGUAAUACAUAGGGUGCAAGCGUUAAUCGGAAUUACUGGGCGUAAAGCGUGCGCAGGCGGUGAUGUAAGACAGGUGUGAAAUCCCCGGGCUUAACCUGGGAACUGCAUUUGUGACUGCAUCGCUGGAGUGCGGCAGAGGGGGAUGGAAUUCCGCGUGUAGCAGUGAAAUGCGUAGAUAUGCGGAGGAACACCGAUGGCGAAGGCAAUCCCCUGGGCCUGCACUGACGCUCAUGCACGAAAGCGUGGGGAGCAAACAGGAUUAGAUACCCUGGUAGUCCACGCCCUAAACGAUGUCAACUGGUUGUUGGUCCUUCACUGGAUCAGUAACGAAGCUAACGCGUGAAGUUGACCGCCUGGGGAGUACGGCCGCAAGGUUGAAACUC